GUGGAUUUUGAGUAAGAUUUCUCACCCUCUGCUCAUGAUGGCAGUGGUGACCAGCUCAGCUGUGUUGGAUGGUAUCGUGGCCAUUGAGGCUCUGCUCACCUGGAUCAGCGACAUGGCAGGUGCUCUCGAGGAUCCCCAGGAGAACCGAGAUGGUUCCAGAGUCAGAGAGAAACACCUGCAGAGUGACCUGCUUCAGGAUGAGCUGCUGGGGGAACCAGACGGCCGGGAAAGAGAAGAACUCAUUGCAUGGAUCA